GUGUGGUUGGAGGUUUGAGUAAUGAAAACACUCUCAAGCCAUUGGUAGGGGAGCCCUAAGAGAACUGGAUGUAGUGUUUGCCCAGAACUGGACAAGGUUUUCUGGAUAAGCCAAGUGGAAAAUGUCUCGGAGGGAAUCCCAACAUUGUGGUCUAAGUAUCAUUAUGGAACAUCAUUUAAUUCUCUGGAGAAAUUGGCAUGUCAUAGUGACUGAGUCUACGGAAGUUGUUUCUUCAGAAAAGGAUAGAAGACAUCUUAAGAUAUUGAAACUAUUCACAUUCUUGGAGAAAAAAUUUCAUACUCUUGGUCCUCAGUUUAAUAUAAUUGAUGAGAAGCUUGUUCCUUGAUGCCUACCAGUGUUAAUCUACCUAGAAAGAAGUGCUGUUAUACUUCGUUAUUUAUUUUAGCAAACAAAUUGCACUGCUUUGUAAUUAAACUCAUUAAACCCUUCUGGCAUCCCUUCUGGCACUCGUAUCUUUAUUAUAUUAUUUGUUUAUCUAGAAAGGUGGGCAAGCUAGGGACAUAGUGGAGUUCAUGAGCUGUGCAAUGCACUGGGCCUGGAGGAGUAAUAAUAAAUAACUACACAAGGUGCAGAAGCAGUAGAGAAUCAGGCCCAUGGUUUAUAUCUGGAGGAGGAAGAGGAAGUCUCUGACACACUGUUAGAGGGUUGAUAGGGAAGGUGAAAUAUCUGGUUCAUAUAGAGAGAGUAGACUGUGAUGUACAAUAAAUAGAUUUUGUUUCUAGAUUGUGUGUGUGUGUGUGUGUGUGUGUACUGAAGUGUGCAGAAUCAGAUCUGCUGCUUUGUGAUCAUUUGUGUGAUUAGAGAGGGUUGAUUUUCUGGUCUAUAUAUUUAUAUAAAUCUCUGUGUGAACUGAUGCGAUGGUCUGGGUGUUCAUCACAUACACUAAAUACACAGUGUUAAAUACGAUGUAAAGGACUGUUCAUACUUAAAUAUGGCAGGCAGAGAAUCAAUAUAUGUGGCUAAUAACUGGUAGUUGGUAAACUCGAGAAUGGUUUGUGGGCCACAUGCUGGAUGGGGAUUUGUCAGGGUUUUUACUCAUAUUGAAAAUGCCUAAGAUGUAGGGUGGGGUGGGUAUAAGGAGAUUUCUGAUCUGAUGUUUAGCUAAGGAUGUUUCUUUGUAAUGUGCAAUAUGAUAUUUUACACAUGUACAUUUAUUUAAGAAAAUGCAUGAAGCAUGUUGGAAUGGUUAUCAACCUUCUCUUAGUUGCUCAUUUCCAUACCUUUAAAUAUUUAGAUUCUUAAGUAACACUUCGUGAUAAUAAUCAUUCAUAGUUAUAAUAUUAACGUAAGUUACUAAGCUCUUUAUCUGUUAAGAGUAACACAAGUUUAUUGACUUGGAUUAAAUUCAGCAUUUUCUGGAAUCUACUCCACCCAAGGGGAGGAUGCAGAGACAUUUGCUGUCCCUGGGUUGGUAUGCAGGAUACAACCAACGUGCACUCCCAAUGCAGGUGUUUGCUCAUAGGCAUAGUUUGACGUCUAUAUUUCUGGGGGCUGGCAGCUCCAGUCAGGCCACGGGACCAUGUUUAGGGGGGCAAAUUCAAUGCCUCUCUGAGGCAAGCAGUUAGGGCGGGGGCAAUGCCUCUUCCCAGCUAUGCCCAUGGGUUUGCUUCCCAUAUACUCAUGGAGCUAAAAGUACAGAUUUGCCCCUCCUGCGAUUUACCUUAAAAUACUCCCUGCCUAUGCACUAGUUCUUGGGAGCUGCUGCAAAGUCUAGCUAUGCUACACACAGGGGAUGUGGAGUCCAUCAUGAGUCUGUUCCACAGCCACUCCCCUUGUAUGAAUCAUAGUGCCUCUGCUUUGGGGGCCUUCUAUGAUAUAUAGACUGCUUGGUGAAUUUCACCAUUUGCACUUCUG